AUGAGGUGAGAUUUUGAACGAUUUCUUUUUCGUAUCUGAAGAUGGAAAGAGCUCAAGCAGAGUGGAGACGACGAACAGAUGGUACCACUGAACCAGAUUCUAUGGAAAAGUUCGUAUCCCAACGAAAAAAUCUGGAGAAUGACGAUCAAUCAACAGAUUUUGACGUUUUUCGUUUCUCUCUCAAUCUGAUCCACUUUCAUCUUCAUUUUUCUCAAGUCUCCAAUUGAUUGAAAGUGGGAAUUGGUUAUUUGGGUCCUUCUCUCUGGCAUACACGAUGAUUCAAGCAUGCAUAUACCUCUUUGGGUUCUCCAUUAGCACGCUGCGGUUUGUGCCCUAAUUUGUUCGAUUGAGCUUCUGGGCUUCGAUUUGCAGGUCACGGCUUCAAUAAUACAAUCUCUCAGCAAAGCCUCAUAUUCGCUUAGCUUUGGGAUUUACAAUGCAAGUCUUGUGUUGGAAUGCGGCAUAGGUUCUCGAAAGCGAAUUCCAUGAAGCGGUUCCAGAUCAAGUAUGAGGAUGUGAUCAAGAGAAAGUCCCGGCAAAUCUCUUAACUUGUGUUGGAAAUAUGAUCAGUCUUCAUGACCCAAGUCCUUCAAAGUGUAUUGUUGUCAAUAAUUGAGAAAAAAAUAGUGAACCAGAGUCCCUGCUUUGUGUGGGGCGUAACACUGUUGUGGUUUUCAUACUUGAUAUGAUGUUUGGUUUACUUGUCUGA